CCUGAAUUCUGGGAAUUGAAGGCCACAGGUUUUAAAAUUGCAAGAUUGGAGACCCCUGUGUUAUUCUCUAGGGCAGGUGUGUUAAGGUGGAAUUUGCAAAUUUGCAAACAAAUGGGAGUUUUCCCCAUUUGAUAUUAUAACAUCUGGAUCACAGUGGAUCUUCAAAUCAUUUUAGUCAAAGAUCAUCACCUAGCAGUCCCUUUUCCUGUGCAUGUACAACAACAUUUUUGACAACUGCCUGUACAAUCCUUCCUUCAAUCCUUUAAUGGUCUUUGAAACCAUACAUUCUUGAGAAAUCUCAUAGGAGCCCUGGUAGCGCAGUGGUUAGAAUGCAGUAGUGCAGGCAAAUAUUUGCCUUCAAACUGCCCACAGUAUAGAAUUCGAUCCCAAUGGGGUCAAGGUUGAUCCAGCCUUCCAUGCUUCCGAGGUUGAUAAAAUGAGGACCCAGAUUGCUUGGGGGCAAUGUGCUGACAUUGUAAACUGCACAGGGAGUGCUGUAAAACACUAAGGAAUGGUAUGUAAGUCUAAGUGUUACUGUUAUUGCUAUAUCUCCCAGGACAUUUCUUCCCAAAUCUGCUUCCUUGUCAUUCAGUCUCACUGGCAGUAAUGCUGAUCUGUGUUUUGUAAGGUAACCAUUCAUAGAAUUGUCAUAUCUUUUAUAGUCUACCGUUUAAU